GCUAUUGGCUGAGCCGCAGUCAGCCUGCCCGUGGACCCGCCUCCUUCCAGCAAAACUGACAGAUUCUGAUUGAUAAUUUAAAGGCAGUCUUUCUGUUCAUCCUUCCAGUGCGCGUCUCCACCGUUUUUACACAAAGUGUUUCAGCCAGCCAGUCUUACCGCUCGACCCAAGCGGACACCAAGCUCCCAGCGGUACCGGGUGAAGCCUCGGUGGCGUGAAGGCAGGUGUUGAGGACUGUCUUUCUCUCUCUGCCUCAUUCUGUUGUUCUGAGUCAUGGCGACCUCUCUGCUCAGCAGGCAGCUGGUCCUCUCCCUACAGCAGAACCUCAGGCUCACUGCACCAGGCUGCAGGUAUGCGAGUAAGGCAGCAGCUAAGACUCAGAUGGAGUUUGAAUACGACGGGCCCUCCAUGAAGACCGAGGUCCCAGGACCCCGUUCCAAGGAGCUGACCAAACAGUUGGA